rnacentral:misc_RNA from 1 species
GAUUAAUUGGGAUGAUUCCCGGCGUUGUUGCAGCUAAUGCCGUCAUUAGCAAAUUGUGCGGUGGAUGGUUCAGCUUGCAGUCAGUUUUUGCACACCGGCCAUUAAGAUAAUCUCGACAAACUUCCCCAAGAGAUGCUCCAAUUCCAGGCAAAAUUGCACCACCAGAAGCACCAGGAACAACGCCGGGAAUCAUCCCAAUUAAUCCAGGGAAUGCCCCAGAAACAGAUCCUGAAUAAUUUGGCAUGUUGGGCAUGGUCUGGUUAACUAAGUUUGGAAAAGUUGAAGCAGGAGCCACACCCAGAAGUCCUCCAGUUGAAGUACCAGCACUGAAGAAAACGGGGAAUGGACUACCCAUGAUGGGUUUGCCAUUACAGUCAAUAUUCACCAUAUAAUUCCCCCUUUUGGGCACCACAUAAGUUACGGUGUAAGUCCCAUCCCCCAUAUCCUUCAC